UUGUGAAGUGCAUUAGCAGAAAACUUUGUCUUUUAUGUAGAACAAAAUGCAAUUUACCACUUGGCUGUCUAUUAUAUCACCCUGUCACAGGCCUUCCCCGUCAACACCACCUCAUAAGAUUGCCUGCUGCAGUUGUUCGAGAGAUGUCCAGUUUGCAGCCGAACAUGCAGCAUAGAGAAGUCCAGAAAGGAGGCCUUCAUCAGCCACAUGUUGGCAAGUAUCUGGCCAGCAACCUUCACCUGUCAGCAGCAAAAGCUUUCACAGGCUCAUCAUUUGUACAAAUAUAGAAGGUGGAGUUCUUUGAGCCCUUCUGGGACAGUGGGGAGCCCUGUGUCGGGGAGAGGGGGGUCAAGGUGUGGAGAGCCUAGAUGAUGCAGCAGGAGAGAGGAGGCUGGCUCCAACCCAGUGAACAAGAACCUCUGUGUGACGGAUGAUGAAGAUGAUAAAGAUCAGGAGGAAUCAGAGGUGAAGGAUAAGACCUGGCUCAAGUGGAGGAUCUGGUUGGACGUGGAGACGUCACAUGAGGCUAUCUAUUGGCUGCCGUGGAGGGCAGACCAAUCGGUGGAGGACUGUGAGGACCCGGACUGACAGGUAUUGGCUGUAAUCACUGGUGAUAGUGGUGCCAAACCUGGGAUAUAUCUACCAUUAAAAAUGGGUCCUAGUGUUGCUAUUUACAGUGCAUUCGGAAAGUAUUCAGACCCCUUGACCCUUUUCACAUUUUGUUAUGUUACAUCCUUAUUCUAAAAUGUAUUAAAUAGUUUUUUCCCCUCAUCAAUCUACACACAAUACCCCAUAAUGACAAAGCAAAAAUAGGUUUUUAGAAAUGUUUACAAAUGUAUAAAAAUAAAUAAAACUGAAAUAUCAUAUUUACAUAAGUAUUCAGACCCUUUACUCACUAUUUUCUUGAAGCACCUUUGGCAGCGAUUACAGCCUCGAUUUGGGGAGUUCCUCCCAUUCUUUUCUGCAGAUCCU
rnacentral:lncRNA from 1 species